UCGGGAAUAUUGCACAAUGGAGGGAACUCUGAUGCAGUGACGCCGCGUGCAGGAAGAAGGUUUUCGGAUUGUAAACUGCUUUAGAUAGGGAAGAAGAAAAGACAGUACCUAUAGAAUAAGCUCCGGCUAACUACGUGCCAGCAGCCGCGGUAAUACGUAGGGAGCGAGCGUUAUCCGGAAUUAUUGGGUGUAAAGGGUGCGUAGACGGGAACUUAAGUUAGUUGUGAAAUCCCUUAGCUCAACUAAGGAAUGGCAACUGAAACUGGGUUUCUUGAGUGCAGGAGAGGAAAGUGGAAUUCCUAGUGUAGCGGUGGAAUGCGUAGAUAUUAGGAGGAACACCGGUGGCGAAGGCGACUUUCUGGACUGUAACUGACGUUGAGGCACGAAAGUGUGGGGAGCAAACAGG
rnacentral:rRNA from 1 species